AAUGUAUAACGCCGUUGAUUUUUUAUCCAACGUUUGACCAUUCGUCUUAUUCAAAAAAUUUAUGCAAUUAUCAUUUAUUUUAUUGUAACUCGAUUCAUCAUCAAAUGUUUUUUAAGCAUGACAUAAAUACUUUCAUAUUUACACUAAAAUUUUAAAUAAAACGAAUGGUCAAACGUCGAUCGAAAAGUCAACGGCGUCAUACAUU
rnacentral:pre_miRNA from 1 species